rnacentral:lncRNA from 1 species
CUAUUUGCAAGGCACUGGCAAUUACAUUGAAAUCCAAAGAUGGUUUUUGUGGUAAUUUUGCAUAUUUAUGUAGCACUAUUCAGUCUGAAAUCUGAGGUUCUUCUCAAAAAGGUUUAAAAUUGUGAGUCCAGAGCUCCUGAGCAGUCCCCUAAAUCCUGCCCAUGAGAUUGACAGAAUUAACUAAGUUGAUGUAACUUAAAAAAUUAUUACUACUUUUGAACUUCUACAUCCUAACAAGAAGGACAAUAAGUUUAGACAAUAAGACAGUUGUCAUCAAAGUCAAUUCACAAAAUUAAGCAACGAAAAUAAUACAAUCUAGUACUAAACUGAAGGGAGUAGGGAUGGAUGAAAAUUAUUUUUACAAGGUGCAUAUUCAGGGUAUGAGCUCAAAGAAGUAAGAGUCUCUUGAGUGAGACAGAAACAGGUCUGUAUUGUAGGCUUUUUCCUACCGCUGUGUGCAGGUGUGCUCCAAAUAAAGGAAUGGAUAAGUAAAAAACAUCUUACGACCCUAAAUACGUGUUCUUCCAAAGGAGUAAGGAGAUGACCUAAAAGGUUUCUAUUCGAGUGCUGUGUCUAUUUGUGUCAAGUGUAGUAAUCACGUUGUCCAAACAUUCUAUAUCCUCACCGAUUUUUGUGUCCCUUUGUUCUAUUCCUGAGAGAGAACUGUGAAAGUCUCCCCCUAUGACUAUGGGUUUGUCCAUUUCUCCUUGCAAUUCUGUUAGUUUUGCUUUCUGUAGUUUAAGGUCAUGUUUUAGGUGCACAUGGAAAUCUAGAAUGAUUAUAUCUUUGUAGCGAAGUAAAUAUUUUAUCAUUAUGAAGUGACGAUUUGUAGCAAGGAUUUUUGCCUUCAAGUUGAUUUUUUCUAUUCUUAACAUUGCUACAGUGGCUUUCUUUUGGUUAGCACUUGCAUGCUAUAACUUUUUCCACUCCUUUACUUUCAACCUUUGUAUAUCCUUCAGUUUUAGAUCCGUGUCUCUGAAAAUCAAAUGGUUUGGGUUUGGGUUUGAACCCCGUCUGAUCCUCUUUGAGUUUUAACUAGUGUAUUUAGUCUUUUCAUCUGUAAUGUAGUUACUGACAUUUUUCCAUUUAAAUAGCAUCCUAGUCAUGUGCACCUGUUCUGUUACUUUUCUCUCUUGCCUUUAUGCCAGGACUACUUCCGCUCCAGAACGCAUGCUCAUCUCUUACAAGAGACAGCUGAGAGGCUGAAUGAGACUUUGCACCCCAAUGGGGCCAGAGGAAAAAGUCAUAACCUUCUGUCAAGGAUGAGGAUUUAGCAAAUUACUUCCAGUUUAUGGUUGGAUCUCCAAAGGCCUGCCUCCUGGAAGUAAGGGUGAAGUAAGAGCUUGAAGUAAUCUGGUCUUCACAUAGAUUGCCACCUGCCUUCAGUGUGGGGAACCAACUACAUUAUUCUAGUGGGGAGAUAAAUGAUACAUGAUAAAGACAUGAGAAGUUACAAAAUAUUGAGUACCAAUUCAAGAAUUUAAGAGAGAAAAUAUCACACGACUCUAGUAGAUAAUCGUCAAAGAAUUAUGUAGUACAUAAUUCAGUGUUUAGGGAAAGAAGAGAACACUUCAACCUUGGGUAGUCCAGGACAAAAAAAAAAUUUACCUUAUAUUCCUUUGUGUCCCAGCAGCACACCAAGUGCUCCACACAUAAUGGGGCUGGAUAAGAGAGAAGAUGACUUCAGGAGCAACCAAAUUUAUAAACUCUGUUAGAUGUGCUGCUGUCAAUUUGUGUAGCGGAAUUUUUAGAGUUCUCAGAGGUUAAUUUGUUUUAUAACAUUUUUGUUCCCAGAUUUAUAAUUCCUGUAUCAACUCAGCCCUGCAUCUCAGCUCCAUAAAGAAUGUGGGCCUCUUUACUCUAAUACAGUUUAAUAGCAGAGGUUUUGCCAAAAGCAUGCUUUAAGUGAUGAGGGCUUUUGCUAUCUUGAAAUAUGAUUUCCAAAAAAUUUUUCAUUAAAAUAGGUUUUAGAAGGCCCAACUGGUCAUUUCCACUUGGAUAAAGAAACUUCAUUCAAUGAUCUCUUGCCGAAUGUACUAAUAUAAAAAUUAUACAAAAGAACUACAAUCAUACAGAACACAAGAUGAAUUUCUUAGCUUGUUUUCAACCUUAUUUGGCAUUCUUCCAUCCCAUCCUGCUUUUCUUAGAAUAAAUGCUGUCUUUUGUACGCCUAGUACCUGCCAACAUUAGUAACACAGGUGCUUGAGUUUUGUUCAAGUGAUGGAAAUCAGCUGUCCUAAGUUCCCCGGGGUUCCUCAGUCCUUAGUGAACCUCAGAAUCAAUGGUGGAAAUCAUGGAAAUACGUAGGUUCCACUCCCAGGAGAUUCUCAUUUGGGGGGUCUAGAGUCGAGUCGUAUAACACCUCUUUGCCACUCAAAGCGAUACCUAUUUGUAAAAUGCAGAUUCUGAUACAGCAGGUAUGGGGAGGGGCCUGAGAUUCUGUACGUCUGAAGGACUCCCAGGUGAUGUUGCAGUCGCUCCUGCUGCUUUGGAGACCACACUUUGAGUAGCAAGGUCUCUUUCACUCUAGGCUCUCUAUGAGAAUUUGUGCUUUAAAGAUUCUCAGUGGAAACAAUACAAUGAAAUCACCUCCUGUGACCUAACAUUUUAUAUAUAAACUGUCUUAAUCCUCACAACAACCUUAGCAGGUAGGUACCAUUACUAUCUCCAUUUUAUAAGGAAGGACCUGAGGCCCAGAGAGGUUAAGUAACCUACCCAUGACCACACAGCUGAGUAUUCUUGUUCCAGAGUCCAUACUCUCAACCUUCUAUGCCAGUGGUUCUCAAAUGCUGGGGUGCAUCAGGAUCACCUGAAGGGCUUCUUAAAACACAUAUUGCCCUGCCCCAGCAUUUCUGAUUCAGCAGGUCUGGGGUGGGGCCUGAGAAUUUGCAUUUCUAACAAGUUCUCACAUGAUGCUAAUACUGCUGGUCCCAUGGACCAUACUUUGAAAACCAUUCCCCUAUGCCAUAUGGUUCCAAUUUUCCCAAGAGUAUAUCUUGAAAAUUGACAUCCCUGGGAACCACCAGUCCUAUAUUUCUACUUGCUGGAUAUUUUCACCCAAAUCUCUCUGGAAGAUACUAUGUACAUUCUGAUCUGUGCUUACACGUUGUCUGUUAUCUAAUAUAACAGCAUUAUUUCUUUCCAUCCCUAAGUUCAUUGAAACCAAGUUUGAGCCCCACCUUAUCUAAGAAAACUUACUCUAUGACCCCAGCACACCAACUUGUAUAAACCUUCAUUCUUAUUAGUUAUUUCACACACUUAUUGUGAGUGCCUGCCUUGUGAACAUCAGGCACCGGACUCAGCAAUCAGAAUGCAGAGGGAAGGUCAGACCUCCCCUUCCAAAGGCUCAGAAACUAUUAGAGAAGACUAGAUGUUGACAUUACUGUGUGGUGAAUCCUAAACAGAGAUUUACAUCAAGUGUUAUAGAGGCACAGCAGAAGAAUCCCCAACUCAAAAUGGGCAUGCCUGCCCUACAAGAGCACACUCCUCAUUGACAACCAGAUCUUACACCUCCUCGUGCUCACGGUUCUUAGCACUGUACCUUUCACAUACUAAACACUCAGCAAAUUUGUUAGACGUCUUCAUUAAAGGCCUACAAAUGCCAGUCAGCAUUGGGCACCAGAGGUACAAAGACAGCUGAAGACCCAGCCCCUGCCCUCAAGGGGCUUUGAAGUUAAAUAGCAGGAGAAAGAAAUGAAUAGAUUGAGUGCAAUAAAGUGUUAAUUGACGCUAUGACAGAGGUGGGUAAAGGGGCAUAACAGAGGCAAAGAGGAGAGAGUUGUGUGAAGAAAUAGAAGACUGGUACUUCUGGGAGAAAAAUAGCCAGGCACUUCUUAGAGUAAUCACGUAGCACUAACUUGCCUCAGUUCAAGGUCUGCUAUUAAGCUUUACAGCCUGAAAAAUGAUUUGGUCAGCACCCAGAGAAGAGAUCUAUUUUCUUCUUUUGUGGCUGCACCAGUAAAUGAACCAAGCUCAGAAACUCAAUAUACUGUAUAAAGUCAGAAUGCCAGUGCGUUAGUUUGCAAUGAGAAAUUGUCCUCACGAGAACCCUAGGUUCCUGUGAGCAGAAUGUUAUAUUCUGUAGACUAAGGUGCUGCUUCCAAGAGAGGGAGCUUCCAAGAGAGUCACUAAUAAGGACCAUGGGUGUCUGAAUGAAGGGGAGGCUGGCAUUUUAUUUUCUGUUGGAUGGCUGCCUAGCCAGGAGUUGGCUAAUUUGUCUCUAUGCUAGCUGAGCCCAUAGAAAAGGGAAUCAAAAAGAGCAGGCCAGGCAGGACAGUGCUGUGCCAGGGUAUGGAACACAGAUCUAAUAUAUGUCCACCAGUCCUAGAGCUGGCUGUGAAGAUGACACUGGGUCAGUGGUGACACUCUGUAUUCUAUAUAGAGUGCAUAUAGUGCAGGGAUCAGCAUAGCAAGGCAGGUAGAUGCCCAAGUAUCAGAGGGACAUGGUUAUCAGUGUCACCAGUUGGAGAUGAGCUGGUCAAAUGAUAAUGACAGAACAUUUACUGGGCCCUUACUUUACGUGUUCUUCACUCAUCAAUCCUCACAACAGCCCUACAAGAACAGCAGGAGGAUCCCUGAUAAGAGAGGAACUUGCUGACAGCCCUCUGCCUGACUGAGCAUCUUACAGGAACACUGAGAAGCAAGAAUGAUUGAUUGUAAACUUCAGACGUCGAAGACUAAAAACUCCAUUGCGGGCAACACAUAGAACAGAUGGUCACGCUUGCGCAGAGGACUCUUAGAACUUCAGCCCCCGAGGCCACGUGCUCCCCCUCCCCUACCUAAAACCCUGAAUAAAAACUCUUGCUUGUAGCUUUUCAGGGAGUUUGGGAUUGCAGCUCGAGCUGCCCAUUCCCCUUGCUCAGUGCUUUGCAAUAAAAUUCCUACUUUUUCGACUACACCUGGUGUCAGAGAUUGGCUUGCUGCAUGACAGGUGAGCAAACUCACUUUGGGUCUGAUAUCAUUUCUUCUUCCAAUAGUACAUAACCUCCAUGAGGAAUGUCUGUUUUAGUCUCUGCAAUAGCCUAACACCAAGAGCAAUCUCUGAUAAGUAGUAGACAUUCAAUAAAUAUUUGCUGAAUUACUACAAGAAUGAUUAUGGUUUUCAAAGGUUUUCUUAAUUCCUAUUUUUUUUUUUUUUGAGGAAAGUUAGCCCUGAGCUAACAUCUGCUGCCAAGCCUCCUCUUUUUGCUGAGGAAGACCAGCCCUGAGCUAACAUCUGUGCCCAUCUUCCUCUGCUUUAUAUGUGGGAUGCCUACCACAGCAUGGCUUGCCAAGUGGUGCCAUGUCCACACUCGGGAUCCGAAGCAGGGAACCCCAGGCCACUGAGAAGCGGAAUGUGCACACUUAAUCACUGUGCCACUGGGCUGGCCCCUCCUAUGUAUUUUUUAUACACUAAAAUAAUUCUUCUCUAUAGGAUUACUUGAAAUAUGAUCAUGUAAAUAUUUGGACUAAAAAUCAUGAGACACAAGUCCCAGGUCUGCCAUUAAUUUUUUGUGUAAUCUGGUUACAUCACCUCUCAGAGCUUCACCUCGCAUGUCUGACAUCCUACGGCUUGCCACCAUGACUC